rnacentral:lncRNA from 1 species
CCCUUUGAAAGUUGGGCAGUUGACAAGGAAAUCCGUCCGGGAAUCAUUAAGGGCAUUUUAGUCUUUUCCCUAGCCAAUUCUUUUGGGAUUAUAUUGUUGUAUAGGGCUGAUCUUUGGAUCAUUUUGUUCCAUUUUUUAAGAGAGUGAAGGCUAGGGCUUGAGAGUGAAGAAGAGAAGAAGAGAAGAAGAGAAGAGAAGAAGAAGAGAAGAAGAGGAGAAGAAGAAGAGGAAAUCGAGGAGAUCAACAAGUUCCGUCAAGAUCAUCGUGGAUUUUCGUCGGGGGUGAUCCCUACCAAGGUAUGUGAGCUUUUAGUGUUGGGUGAUCCUUUCCCCCACAC